rnacentral:rRNA from 1 species
AGAUUGAACGCUGGCGGCAUGCCUUACACAUGCAAGUCGAACGGCAGCACGGGAGCAAUCCUGGUGGCGAGUGGCGAACGGGUGAGUAAUACAUCGGAACGUGCCCAAUCGUGGGGGAUAACGCAGCGAAAGCUGUGCUAAUACCGCAUACGAUCUACGGAUGAAAGCAGGGGAUCGCAAGACCUUGCGCGAAUGGAGCGGCCGAUGGCAGAUUAGGUAGUUGGUGAGGUAAAGGCUCACCAAGCCUUCGAUCUGUAGCUGGUCUGAGAGGACGACCAGCCACGACGGGGACUGAGACACGGCCCAGACUCCGUACGGGAGGCAGCAGU